UAGCUGUGGUGAUUAUUGCGCUCAAUGCAGUGAUAAAAGGGUCUCUGCAAUAGUCUGAUACACAAGACGAUGAGCUGCGCAUCUGAGCUA